rnacentral:tRNA from 1 species
GCCUGGGUAGUUCAGUUGGUUAAGCAUCUGACUUCAGCUCAGGUUGAAAUCCAAAGUCCUGGGACAGAGCCCCAGCUUGGGCU